rnacentral:snoRNA from 1 species
UCCCUCCAGAUUCCUUAUCCCUCAAGCCUAAAUACUGGUCUGAGUAGCUUAAAAAAGAGGAGUAAAAGUAAAACUGAAAUGGGCUUGGAGUCUUUCAUGACAACCAGGUUCAUUUCAAACAAAC